rnacentral:tRNA from 1 species
GGGGCUAUAGCUCAGCUGGGAGAGCGCCUGCUUUGCACGCAGGAGGUCUGCGGUUCGAU